CCUACGGGAGGCAGCAGUAGGGAAUAUUACUCAAUGGGGGAAACCCUGAUGCAGCAACGCCGCGUGGAGGAUGAAGGUUUUAGGAUUGUAAACUCCUUUUGUUAGAGAAGAUUAUGACGGUAUCUAACGAAUAAGCACCGGCUAACUCCGUGCCAGCAGCCGCGGUAAUACGGAGGGUGCAAGCGUUACUCGGAAUCACUGGGCGUAAAGAGUACGUAGGCGGGGUAAUAAGUCAGAUGUGAAAUCCCGUAGCUUAACUACAGAACUGCAUUUGAAACUGUUACUCUGGAGUGUGGUAGAGGUAGGUGGAAUUCUAGGUGUAGGGGUAAAAUGCGUAGAGAUCAAGAGGAAUACU
rnacentral:rRNA from 1 species